UACAGAGGGUGCGAGCGUUAAUCGGAAUUACUGGGCGUAAAGCGUGCGUAGACGGCUAUCUAAGUCGGGUGUGAAAGCCCCGGGCUCAACCUGGGAAUUGCAUUCGAGACUGAAUAGCUAGGGUACGGUAGAGGGAAGUGGAAUUUCCGGUGUAGCGGUGAAAUGCGUAGAUAUCGGAAGGAACAUCAGUGGCGAAAGCGACUUCCUGGACCAGUACCGACGUUCAGGCACGAAAGCAUGGGGAGCGAACAGGA
rnacentral:rRNA from 1 species